CACAUGUAAAAAAUAAAUAAGCUCAUACAUUCAAGUAUAUGGCAAAUAAUUAACACCUCUGAAAGCUUAAUGGUCAGAUUCCAGUUCACCACCUGGCUGAGAGCUGCACAGGGCCAAGCCUAGAGCUGGUCAAGUCAUUCUCAUCUCCAUUUCUGUCCUCUUUACAGGUACAAGCUAGGUGGGUAUAUACGUGGCUGUGCACAUCCUCCUGCCUGAUCUCCAGCUCUCUACCUGGCCCAGGAAGGAGGCAGAGGUUCAGCUCAGCCUUCUGUGCAGCAGGUGAGUGCUCCCUGGUGGCAGCUGAAAUGCAGCUACCCCUCCCGUGGUCAGUACAGGCCGGUUAAAUGCCUGGUGAGCAGCGGCACUGGUGUGGAAAAAUCUUACCGCUGGUUGGAAAUGUUUCUAUCAAAUUUGUUUUGAUUAGAAAGUGCUGAUUUGUCCCCUGUAGGAAACACAUCUGCUUCAGCAGAACUCAUUACUGGAGUUUCUGAAGUCCAGGACAGCCUCUCUGGUCAAGCAUUCCGCCUCCUGAAGUUUGAUCUCUGCUGUCCUCCUCUCUGGGUGUGCAUUUCCAACUUUACCGAAAGGGAUGAAAGUAAAUGUAGACCCUUGCACUUGUGUACAGGGUGAAACUGACCUCCCAGUAACAAUCCCAGCCUGGAGCUGUUGCCAAGGCUCCAUUUCUUGCUGGUGUGGGACCAGACGAUGUGCGGAAUAAGGACUGCCUUGCUGAGAGCAGGUCUGCUGGGGCACAGAGCAGCACAGCACUGAUUUCUUUCAGGAGAAAGAAGGGGAGGGAAGUGCUAUUGUCCUCCGUUGCCAGGUGCAGGAGAUAGUUCUGCUUGCUCUCAUGACAAGCCAUGGCCAGAAAACUUUGCUGGCUCACAAAGCAGGUCAGUGCCAGAUGCAGGUUUCUGCCUUAGGCAUGCUGGACCGUCCCGUGUGCAGCUGAACCAGGAGCCUCACCAGAAACAAUUAGUUCAGCUAAGUUUGAUUGAUGAGCAGAAGACUUUCUUCCUUCUUUGCAAGGUACCAGCUCUUCUGUCUUGUGGCUGCAGUGCAGGCAGCAUAGCUGGCACUUACCUUUCAGGUUUUGUCUCAUGCUCAUUCUCUGCAGGUCUCCAUAUCCCACUAAAGUUAAAGAGGGAGAGCUCCAGCUCCUGCUUUGGAGCUUCUGGCACAACUCUGUACAGGAGCAGCUGAGGAAGUGGAGGGGACAACAUACAGCUCUCACUGCAGAGUUUAGAGCAACCCCAGAACAAACUUCAACGGAAAAAACAAAACUGGUGAAGAUGUUCCAGGAAAUGAUCCAGAACAAUUUGUGUCAUCUCAUGACGCAGAUGUGACUGCAAAAAUGUCCCUUUCCCUAUUAAAAGUAUUUUAGAAAUAAAGAAGAUCGAGGCUGCAUUUAACUACCUGCUCUAGGCUCCUCCUUCAGCUGACAGUGUGAGUUCCUGGAGUUUUAGGUGACAAGCAAAAGGACUGCCAAGGUCUUCUUCCCUUGAGCUGUGCCCAUUGUUACAGAGGCUGCAUCUCCUAAAAAACCCUUGUUUAAAAGCCAUCCCCUCCUCUGAACACCAGGUGCAGUGCAGUUGAGGUGCAGAUCCUGGGAGAAGUCUGGUGGUGCAGGAGCACUCUGUUUGAAACCACCUACACUUAAGUUCUUUUUGAAAAAACAAAUGAAACCAAAACAAACCCCCCAAAUCAACCCCGGUUCUUAGCUGGAACCAGGCCUUUGCUGCUCCUCUUCUGCCUCCUCUUGUGCUGAGGCCAGGUCUACCCUCUGCUCAUCCAUGCGUUUGGCCUGGACCCGCUGGAUGAGGCUGAAGAAAUCCUCAUCUGGCAUGGUGGGACCACGGGGGAUGGAGUCUGGUGGUGC
rnacentral:lncRNA from 1 species